ACGGAAGGCAGCAGUGGGGAAUAUUGCACAAUGGGGGAAACCCUGAUGCAGCAACGCCGCGUGAGUGAAGAAGUAUUUCGGUAUGCAAAGCUCUAUCAGCAGGGAAGAUAAUGACGGUACCUGACUAAGAAGCUCCGGCUAAAUACGUGCCAGCAGCCGCGGUAAUACGUAUGGAGCAAGCGUUAUCCGGAUUUACUGGGUGUAAAGGGUGUGUAGGCGGCAAGGCAAGUCAGAAGUGAAAUGCCGGGGCUCAACUCCGGAGCUGCUUUUGAAACUGCCAUGCUGGAGUCCAGGAGAGGCAGGCGGAAUUCCUAGUGUAGCGGUGAAAUGCGUAGAUAUUAGGAGGAACACCAGUGGCGAAGGCGGCUUACUGGACGGUAAAUGACGCUCAGGCUCGAAAGCGUGGGGAGCAAACAGGAUUAGAUACCCUGGUA
rnacentral:rRNA from 1 species